rnacentral:rRNA from 1 species
UUCGGGAUGCCGGCGAGUGGCGAACGGGUGAGUAACGCGUGGAUACCUGUCCUAUGGUGGGGAAUAACGUUUAGAAAUGAACGCUAAUACCGCAUAAGCCCUACGGGGGAAAGAUUUAUCGCCAUAGGAGGGGUCUGCGUCGGAUUAGCUUGUUGGUGGGGUAACGGCCUACCAAGGCGACGAUCCGUAGCUGGUCUGAGAGGAUGAUCAGCCACACUGGGACUGAGACACGGCCCAGACUCCUACGGGAGGCAGCAGUGGGGAAUAUUGCGCAAUGGGGGAAACCCUGACGCAGCGACGCCGCGUGGGUGAAGAAGGCCUUAGGGUUGUAAAGCCCUUUCAGUGGGAAAGAUGAUGACGGUACCCACAGAAGAAGCCCCGGCUAACUCCGUGCCAGCAGCCGCGGUAAUACGGAGGGGGCGAGCGUUGUUCGGAAUUAUUGGGCGUAAAGCGCGCGUAGGCGGUUUAUCAAG